GUCAGGAUGGCCGAGUGGUCUAAGGUGCCAGACUCAAAGUGAGAAGACUUCCUGGUUGUCGGCUGUUCUGGUCUCCAAUUGGAGGUGAGGGUUCAAAUCCCUCUUCUGACA
rfam:Salmo salar isolate Sally breed double haploid chromosome ssa20, whole genome shotgun sequence.